rnacentral:lncRNA from 1 species
UAAGGUUUCUUAAGUACACUUUAAUGAUUAUUUAACUAAUAAAUUUUAGCUAAAAACCUUAGUUAAAAAUCACCUAAUUUUUAAGCUACAAUGGUAGGUUCUUAAUUUGGGUUUCUUAAAAAGAAAAAAAAAUUACUUGUUUGUGGUUACUUGUGGAAGAGUGUAGAUGAAUACGUGAUCCUUCCACUCCCAAGUCUGUGAUUCUUCCACUCCCAACUCCGUGACUCGUGUGCUCACAUCUGCCUCGUCUUGUGUCGUGUUACCUGCGUAGAAAACAAGAGUAUAUAUAUGAAACAUAAACAUAAAUACGGUAACUUCAUAAGAGAACAAGAAACAUGCCACACUCGUUUAACAACACCAUCACACAAGAAACUUAAACAGAGCAAGAACAGAGAUUCUUCUUAAACUUAAACAAGCAUUCAUCACACGCUAAUCACUAACCACAACCUAACUCCGCGCUGCAUUUAUUAACCACCUCUAUCAAGUACUUCAAGCAUUCAACACACACAUAUUCACUUACCAUAAACUAAGUCUAACAAGCGACAAAACCCAAGACUUCAAGAAAAGUAGACUUUUUACCACUGCUCCACUCUGUGAAACAACAAGCAUGAGAUGCUCCCACUGCUCCACUCUGUGAUGAAUCUCUCAAUGCUCCCACUUAUCAGUCCGUGACACAGAAAAGCACAAGACAUUACAGAAGCAUGAUUAUCAGUCCAUGACACAUAAACAUACAUUAACUCCAUUACAAGACACUUAAUUCCAUUACAAGAAGGAUCUGAAAAGGAUCUCACCGGUCAGAAGAGAGAGGAGAUGGGGUCGCAGCGAUUGGACGAGCGACGAUUGAAGGGAGGAGACGCUUCCUUUACCAACGGAGAAGACCAGAGAAGAGAAAGACGGACAUGACGGCGAUUGAAGGAAGGAGACGCUUCGCGACGGAGAGGAGAAGACGAGAGAAACGCCGAUUGAACGGAUGCUCCGGUUCCCUUCCACGGUGAGAAGAUGAGAGAAGAGGAGAGGAAGAAAAGAAAAGAAAAAGAAAAAAAAAAAAAAAA